CCUACGGGUGGCAGCAGUAGGGAAUAUUGCGCAAUGGGCGAAAGCCUGACGCAGCAACGCCGCGUGAAGGAUGAAGGCUUUCGGGUUGUAAACUUCUUUUAGUAGAGAAGAAAAUGACCGUAACUCACGGAUAAAGAACGGCUAACGUCGUGCCCGCAAGCGUGGGUAUACGGAGGGUGCCAACGUUACUCGGAAUCAUUGGGCGUUAAGAGGUCGUAGGCGGGAUAUCAAGUCAGUUGUGAAAUCCAAGAGCUUAACCAUAGAUCGGCAUUUGAAACUGGUAUGCUUGAGUGUGGGAGAGGUAGGUGGAAUUCUUGGUGUAGGGGUGAAAUGCGUAGAGAUCAAGAGGAACACCGAUGGCGAAGGCGAUUUACUGGAACGUAACUGACGCUGAGGCGCGAAAGCGGGGGUAGCAAACAGGAUUAGAUACCCGUGUAGUC
rnacentral:rRNA from 1 species